rnacentral:rRNA from 1 species
UACGGAGGGUGCAAGCGUUAUCCGGAUUCACUGGGUUUAAAGGGUGCGUAGGCGGAUAUGUAAGUCCGUGGUGAAAUCUCUGGGCUUAACCCGGAAACUGCCAUGGAUACUAUGUGUCUUGAAUGUUGUUGAGGUGAGCGGAAUAUGUCAUGUAGCGGUGAAAUGCUUAGAUAUGACAUAGAACACCUAAUUGCGAAAGGCAGCUCACUAAGCAAAUAUUGACGCUGAGGCACGAAAGCGUGGGGAUCAAACAGG